rnacentral:SRP_RNA from 1 species
AUCGACUUAUGCAGUCGUGAUUUAUGGCAGUCUCCGGGUCCCGUGCAAUGGGAUCCCAUGAAUCUUGUCAGGUCCGAGAGGAAGCAGCAAUAAGUGGCUCUUUCCAUGUGCCACGGUGCAUCCUGGAGGCUGUCAUAAAUCACGCUUGCAUAAGUCUUUUUUAUUGCACCG